rnacentral:rRNA from 1 species
UUCCGGUUGAUCCUGCCGGACCUGACUGCUAUCGGAUUGAUACUAAGCCAUGCGAGUCAUUGUAGCAAUACAAGGCAUACGGCUCAGUAACGCGUAGUCAAUCUAACCUAUGGACGGGGAUAACCUCGGGAAACUGAGAAUAAUACCCGAUAGAACAUUAUGCCUGGAAUGGUUUAUGUUUCAAAUAAUUUAUUGCCGUAGGAUGGGACUGCGGCCUAUCAGUUUGUUGGUGAGGUAAUGGCCCACCAAGACUAUUACAGGUACGGGCUCUGAGAGGAGUAGCCCGGAGAUGGGUACUGAGACACGGACCCAGGCCCUAUGGGGCGCAGCAGGCGAGAAAACUUUGCAAUGUGCGAAAGCACGACAAGGUUAAUCCGAGUGGUUUCUGCUAAAGGAACCUUUUGUUAGUCAUAGAACCACUAAUGAAUAAGGGGUGGGCAAGUUCUGGUGUCAGCCGCCGCGGUAAAACCAGCACCUCAAGUGGUCAGGAUGAUUAUUGGGCCUAAAGCAUCCGUAGCCUGCUUUGCCAGUUUUCGGUUAAAUCCAUACGCUCAACGUAUGGGCUGCCGGGAAUACUACAAAGCUAGGGAGUGGGAGAGGUAGACGGUACUCGGUAGGAAGGGGUAAAAUCCUUUGAUCUAUUGAUGACCACCUGUGGCGAAGGCGGUCUACCAGAACACGUCCGACGGUGAGGGAUGAAAGCUGGGGGAGCAAACCGGAUUAAAUACCCGGGUAGUCCCAGCUGUAAACUAUGCAAACUAGGUGAUGCAUUGGCUUGAUGCCAAUGCAGUGCCUCAGGGAAGCCGUUAAGUUUGCCGCCUGGGAAGUACGUACGCAAGUAUGAAACUUAAAGGAAUUGGCGGGGGAGCACCACAAGGGGUGAAGCCUGCGGUUCAAUUGGAGUCAACGCCGGA